rnacentral:rRNA from 1 species
AUUGAACGCUGGCGGCAGGCCUAACACAUGCAAGUCGAACGGUAGCACAGAGAGCUUGCUCUCGGGUGACGAGUGGCGGACGGGUGAGUAAUGUCUGGGAAACUGCCCGAUGGAGGGGGAUAACUACUGGAAACGGUAGCUAAUACCGCAUAACGUCUACGGACCAAAGUGGGGGACCUUUGGGCCUCACACCAUCGGAUGUGCCCAGAUGGGAUUAGCUAGUAGGUGGGGUAAUGGCUCACCUAGGCGACGAUCCCUAGCUGGUCUGAGAGGAUGACCAGCCACACUGGAACUGAGACACGGUCCAGACUCCUACGGGAGGCAGCAGUGGGGAAUAUUGCACAAUGGGCGCAAGCCUGAUGCAGCCAUGCCGCGUGUAUGAAGAAGGCCUUCGGGUUGUAAAGUACUUUCAGCGGGGAGGAAGGGUUGCUGGUUAAUAACCAGCGACAUUGACGUUACCCGCAGAAGAAGCACCGGCUAACUACGUGCCAGCCGCCGCCGUAA